rnacentral:rRNA from 1 species
CAAGUCGACGAGUUCUCGUUGAUGAUCGGUGCUUGCACCGAGAUUCAACAUGGAACGAGUGGCGGACGGGUGAAUAACACGUGGGUAACCUGCCCUUAAGUGGGGGAUAACAUUUGGAAACAGAUGCUAAUACCGCAUAGAUCCAAGAACCGCAUGGUUCUUGGCUGAAAGAUGGCGUAAGCUAUCGCUUUUGGAUGGACCCGCGGCGUAUUAGCUAGUUGGUGAGGUAAUGGCUCACCAAGGCGAUGAUACGUAGCCGAACUGAGAGGUUGAUCGGCCACAUUGGGACUGAGACACGGCCCAAACUCCUACGGGAGGCAGCAGUAGGGAAUCUUCCACAAUGGACGCAAGUCUGAUGGAGCAGCGCCGCGUGAGUGAAGAAGGCUUUCGGGUCGUAAAACUCUGUUGUUGGAGAAGAAUGGUCGGCAGAGUAACUGUUGUCGGCGUGACGGUAUCCAACCAGAAAGCCACGGCUAACUACGUGCCAGCAGCCGCGGUAAUACGUAGGUGGCAAGCGUUAUCCGGAUUUAUUGGGCGUAAAGCGAGCGCAGGCGGUUUUUUAAGUCUGAUGUGAAAGCCCUCGGCUUAACCGAGGAAGCGCAUCGGAAACUGGGAAACUUGAGUGCAGAAGAGGACAGUGGAACUCCAUGUGUAGCGGUGAAAUGCGUAGAUAUAUGGAAGAACACCAGUGGCGAAGGCGGCUGUCUGGUCUGUAACUGACGCUGAGGCUCGAAAGCAUGGGUAGCGAACAGGAUUAGAUACCCUGGUAGUCCAUGCCGUAAACGAUGAAUGCUAGGUGUUGGA